rnacentral:rRNA from 1 species
UAUCUCUGUAGAGUCUGCAUAUCAAUAAGCGGAGGAAAAGAAACUAACAAGGAUUCCCCUAGUAACGGCGAGUGAAGCGGGAAGAGCUCAAAUUUGAAAUCUUCAAGGUUUUACCUUGACGAAUUGUAGUUUAAAGAAGUGUUUUCGGUUAGAGGAGUAGUAAAAGUUCUUUGGAAUAGGACAUCAUAGAGGGUGAGAAUCCCGUAUUUGACUAUUCUUUCUAGCUUUGUGAUACACUUUCAAAGAGUCGGAUUGUUUGGGAAUGCAGUCCAAAAUGGGUGGUAAAUUUCAUCUAAAGCUAAAUAUUGGCGAGAGACCGAUAGCGAACAAGUACCGUGAGGGAAAGAUGAAAAGAACUUUGAAAAGAGAGUUAAACAGUACGUGAAAUUGUCAAAAGGGAAGCGUUUGACACCAGUGUUGUUUUUCCGAAAAUCAAUUACGAACUGUUUUGUUUUUGAGGAAGUUAUGACUUCAUCGGCUUGCCUUCUCUCUUUACGAAACUUUUGUAAUGCACUUUUCGGUUAACAAGUCAACAUCAAUUUCUUUUGUUGUAAAAGGGUAUAGAGGAAGGUGGCUUAUCUUUCGGUUAGAAAGUGUUUAUAGCCUUUGAUCUCUGCAAUCGGAGAGAUUGAGGUCUGCAGCGUAGAUCCUUCUGGAUUAGAUACAUUUGUGCUAAGUUAUAGCUUUGUAUAGACAACUUGUUGACUAUAUUUAGUCUUGUAGCUUACUCGCUUAUGCUAUUUUACCUACGCUUAGGAUGUUGAGUAGCGACAUACGCAC